rnacentral:rRNA from 1 species
GACGAACGCUGGCGGCGUGCUUAACACAUGCAAGUCGAACGGAAAGGCCCUGCUUUUGUGGGGUGCUCGAGUGGCGAACGGGUGAGUAACACGUGAGUAACCUGCCCUUGACUUUGGGAUAACUUCAGGAAACUGGGGCUAAUACCGGAUAGGAGCUCCUGCUGCAUGGUGGGGGUUGGAAAGUUUCGGCGGUUGGGGAUGGACUCGCGGCUUAUCAGCUUGUUGGUGGGGUAGUGGCUUACCAAGGCUUUGACGGGUAGCCGGGCUGAGAGGGUGACCGGCCACAUUGGGACUGAGAUACGGCCCAGACUCCUACGGGAGGCAGCAGUGGGGAAUAUUGCACAAUGGGCGGAAGCCUGAUGCAGCAACGCCGCGUGCGGGAUGACGGCCUUCGGGUUGUAAACCGCUUUCGCCUGUGACGAAGAGUGAGUGACGGUAAUGGGUAAAGAAGCACCGGCUAACUACGUG